rnacentral:lncRNA from 1 species
CGAUGGAUGCAGCUUAUUGCUCGUGAACAUGUCUAGAGAGGAACCUGUCUCACGACUGCCUGCAGUAGACGCUGCCUUGCUUGUGUCUGCGGCGUCACACUGCCUCUCAGGAUCGAUCCUCCUAUAGAUUGCUCAACUGUGGAUAAUAGACUCAGCUGAUGUGGACGUGAACUCGGGGAGACGGAGCCGUAGUGGGAGCUUGUCAGGCACUUUCGUCAUGGUUGAGUGGCGUUGGUGUCUGAACCCAAUGGCGGCACGUGGCAGUGUCGAGUCAUGACGAACGAGUCACCAGGCGAGCCAUUGGCGUGUAGUCGCACGACGUUGGGAUCGCGGCUCUGUUCGCUGCGUUCGUGUUACAGGCGGUAGGCAACUCGGGGAGGACUGGUCACGGUGAUGACCAGUGAGUUAGUCGGGGGCUCAGGAGACUAGUGGCGUGGCGGACGCGCUCGCAAAGGGAUGCACGCCAGGACAUGGUGACUGAGGAGCAGUGGAAGCCGCGGCGAAGGUGCUGGAGUCGUGUAUUUGUGGAACAUGAGUUGGAUCGAGUCAUCGUAGCUAGGAGAUGGAGGCAGCCGAUGAAGAGGCGUUAAUGAGGAUUACUUCGCGCAUCCCUUCAUUGUGCACCGCAAUGAUAGUAUCUGGUCUGGCGCGGUGAUACUCUUGAGUGUAGAAUGGUGCCGUUGAUGAUUUCGCAUGGGCGGCGCGCAGAGAAUGUCGUGUAUCUUGCACUUGACGCCUUGGUUGGAUGUGCUGGUGGACCUGCCACCCGGUCGACCAACGCGAACGGCCUCGGUUCGUGUGUCGACCUGCCUGAUCCGCGUCCUGAGCUGCAUGCCGCGCUAGUGUCGACUGUUGGUCUGAACUGCUUUGUGCUGUGGACCAUGCUCAGAAAAAACAAUGUGGGGACGCCGCCGCAUGAGAGCCGGCUACGGCUGUCAUGUACCGCGUUGCUUCGACGAAUGAGCGGUGCGGGAACAACCCGUGUCGCCGCGACUGUCAAUUAAAGAGGAUGACGCAUCCCGCUCCAGCCUGACAUUCGCCGUGUCGAUGUUUAUCAGUCGCAACGUUGUUCCCUACGGUGUGAAGCUGACCAGGAGCAGUGUGCGUCGCCCUUAAAGCCCUGCGGCGUUAUUGUCGGCGGUGCGACACACGUGCAGGUUGACGAAGUACGCAAACCCGCGAGGCUCGCGCGCACCAUAUGUUAAUAGCAUUAGCUGGGUGUUGUGCGCAGCCAGAGGCCCUCGCCGGACUGAUGCGGCAUAUCCUACUCCAUAAUGAGGCAUUAGUAUUUCUCGGUCCUCCGCGAUGCCCGCGCCUCGACAGCAUCAGCCUGUGUUUGAUGUUUUGCAUAAGCAUGACACCCGUCCACGAUAUACACUCUGAGAUGCGGAUUCGUCUCCUUAUGACGGGUGUUCGUCUGAUUCCAGGCGAUAUGAUCAGGCUGACGGAGACUGAUAACGCAUCGUAUAGCAUUGUUUCAGGUAGCUGCGCCAGCUGAUAGACUACGGCAUCCUAUGGAAUUCGUCACUGGGGAGGUGUCGUCGCCGUGUCUUCGGUUCCCUGCGAGAUAUCUCGAUGGACAUGUUAUCUUGUCUGCCGCUACGUGGAUCGAUGCGACGUAUUGCCCUUGCAACCUGUCUACAGAGGGACCGGUCUUGCGACUGCCUGUGGUAGUCGCUGCUUUGCUAGUGUCUGCGGCGUCACACUGCCUCUCAUGAUCGAUCCUGCUAUAGAGUACUCAACUGUGGAUAAUAGACUCAGGCGAUGUGGACGUGAACUCGUGGAGACUGAGGCGUAGUGGGAGCGUGCCAGGCACGUUCGCUAUGGUUGGGCGGCGUGGGUGUCUGAAACGCGGGGCGGCACGUGGCAGUGUCGAGUCAUGACGAGCGAGUGUCCACGCAAUCCACUGGUCUCUGUCCGCAUGACUCUGGGAUAGCGCGUCUGCUCGUGGCGUCCGUGGAACAGGCGGUAGGCAACACGGGGAGGUCUAGUCACGAUGGUGACCAGUGUGGUAUUCGGAGGAUCGAGAGACUGGUGGCGUGUCCGACGCACUCGCUCAUGGGGAUGCACGUCAGGACAUAGUGACUGAGGAGUAUUGGAAGCCGCGGUGAAGGAGUUGGAGUCUGGUUUCUGUGGAUCGUGGGUUCGGCCGAAUCAUCGGAGCUAGGAGAAUACGAGAAGGAGGCUGCCGAGGACGAAGCAAUAAUAAGGUGCAUUCUGCGCAUCCCGCCAGUGUGAACCGAAACGAUCCGAUCUGGUCUCGACUGGUGAUAAUCGAGAAUGUAGACUGGACCUGCUGAUGAUUCCGUGUGGGCGGCGCGCAGAGAACGUCGUGUGCCAUGCCCUUGACGCGUUGGAUGCAUGUGCUGCUGAACCUUCCACCCAGCCGACCCACGGGAACGGCCUCAGCCAGUAUGGCGACCUGUCUGAUCCGCGUGCUGAGCUGCAUGCCGUGCUAGUGUCGACCGUUUGUCUGAAUUGCUGUGCGUUGUGGAUUCUGCUCAGGAACAGAAGGUAAGAAGGCCGCCGUAUGAGAGCGGGCUACAGCUGGUAUGUACCGCGUUGCUUAUUCGACGAAUGAGCGGUGCGGGAACAACCCGUGUCGCCGCGACUGUCAAUUAAAGAGGAUGACGCAUCCCGCUCCAGCCUGACAUUCGCCGUGUCGAUGUUUAUCAGUCGCAACGUUGUUCCCUACGGUGUGAAGCUGACCAGGAGCAGUGUGCGUCGCCCUUAAAGCCCUGCGGCGUUAUUGUCGGCGGUGCGACACACGUGCAGGUUGACGAAGUACGCAAACCCGCGAGGCUCGCGCGCACCAUAUGUUAAUAGCAUUAGCUGGGUGUUGUGCGCAGCCAGAGGCCCUCGCCGGACUGAUGCGGCAUAUCCUACUCCAUAAUGAGGUAUUAGUAUUUCUCGGUCCUCCGCGAUGCCCGCGCCUCGACAGCAUCAGCCUGUGUUUGAUGUUUUGCAUAAGCAUGACACCCGUCCAUGAUAUACACUCUGAGAUGCGGAUUCGUCUCCUUAUGACGGGUGUUCGUCUGAUUCCAGGCGAUAUGAUCAGGCUGACGGAGACUGAUAACGCAUCGUAUAGCAUUGUUUCAGGUAGCUGCGCCAGCUGAUAGACUACGGCAUCCUAUGGAAUUCGUCACUGGGGAGGUGUCGUCGCCGUGUCUUCGGUUCCCUGCGAGAUAUCUCGAUGGACAUGUUAUCUUGUCUGCCGCUACGUGGAUCGAUGCGACGUAUUGCCCUUGCAACCUGUCUACAGAGGGACCGGUCUUGCGACUGCCUGUGGUAGUCGCUGCUUUGCUAGUGUCUGCGGCGUCACACUGCCUCUCAUGAUCGAUCCGGCUAUAGAGUACUCAACUGUGGAUAAUAGACUCAGGCGAUGUGGACGUGAACUCGUGGAGACUGAGGCGUAGUGGGAGCGUGCCAGGCACGUUCGCUAUGGUUGGGCGGCGUGGGCGCCUGACUCUAAAUGGAGGCACACGGCAACGGAAGCGGCAACGUCCAUCCCCAACGAGCGAGUCACCACGCGAGCCAUUGGCGUCUGGUCGCAUGACUAUACGAUCGUGCCGCUGUUCUUGGCGUUCGUGGAAAAGGCGGUAGGAACCGCGUGGACGACCGAUCCCGGUGGAACUCCGAGUAGUGAAUGGUGCAUGUGGGAUCGAGUGAAUGGGGAAUCGAGUGAAUUGAGGCGUCGCGCACUCACUCUCCAAGGACGAGUGAUAACGACGUUGUGAUUAACUAUUUGUGAUUAUGUUGUUGGAGUUCGUUUUGCACCGAUGAGGGCUUUGAGUGUUUGUGUUUGUCGAACUUGUGUUGGACCACAGAAUUGAUGGUCACAGGAAGGCAAGCAGCAUUGUGGCUGAUGCGAAGGGUUAACGUGGAUUUCCUCUCGCAGCCGACUGGCGUCCGCCCCAUUUCGCUUACCGUGUCGUCAACCGGGGGUAACCGAGAGUACUGGGGGAAGCAGGUGAGGGUCUUCGUUUCGGCUGCUUCCAUAUUGAAUGCGUUGCAUUAUGACCUUGGCACAUUGGUUACGAGUGCUGCUGAAUUUCUCAGACACUCUCGACCGACGGCAACGGUCUCGGUUUGUGCGACGGCCUGGAUGAUCCGGGUGCUGGGUCGCAUGCCGUGACAUUGUCAGCUGAUGUUGCGAUCUGGUUUGCGCGGUGGAUUCUGCUCAGCAACAAGACGUAGGGACGCCUGCGCGUGGGGGGCGCGCUGCAGCUGGUACGUGUCGCCUCGUUUCGGCGACUGGGCGGCGACGGAAAGAACUGGUGUCCCCGCGACCGUCAGUGAAAAAGGAUGGAUCAGCCGGCUCCAGCCGGCCACUCGUCGUCUCGAUGUCAGCAAGUGUCACCUGGUUCAACAAGGUGUGCGGCUGGUCGGGGUCACGGAACGUGGUUGCAAAUCAGGAGCGUCUCGCCGAUUUAUGGUCGGUGGGGCGGUGCUACGGUUGUGCAGCACCAGCAAGUACGCGCACUCGCGUUCCUGGCGCGCCAAAGUAUCACGAAUAAGCCGUGGUGCGCAACCAGUGACCCGCCCAGGGCUGAUGCCGCAUAUCGCCGUCCAUGACGAGGCGUUAGUAUUUCUCGGUCAUCCGCGAUGCAAUCGCCUUGGCAUCAUCAGAAUGUGUUUGGUAUGUUGCAUGAGCUUGACACUCGUCCUCGCGGUAUGCUCUGAGUUGCUGAUGUAUCUCCUUAUGACCAGUGUUCGACUCAUUGCAGGCGAUGCGAUCAUGGUGGAGGAGCUUGACAACGCGCCGUAUAGCAUUGUCUCAAGUAGGUGUGCCCACUGAUACGUUACGGCACCCUUUGAACUUUGUCACUGGGACGGAUUUGUCUCUCUCUGUCCUGGUUUCGCUGGGAGCAGUCUCGAUGCUGACUUCAUCGCAUGUAUCGAUGGGUGAGUGACCGGUCUGCUGCUGCACCGACGGCUCCGACGUGGUGCCGUGGGAAUCUGUCUACAGAGAAACCUGUCUCGCAACUCCCUGCAGUAGCCGAUGCUUUGUGUGUGUCGGCGGCGUCACACUGCCUCUCACGUUCGAUCCUCCUUAUCGAUCGCCUGACCGCGGCUAAUAGAUGCAGCCGGUGUGGACGUGAACUCGUGGAGACUGAGCUGUACUGGGAGCGUGCCAGGCACGUUCGCUAUGGUUGGGCGGCACGGGUGUCUGAAUCCAGUGGAGGGACGCGGCAACGGCAACGUCAAUCCAUAACGAAGGAAUCGCCACACGAGCAAAUGACGUCUGGUCGCAUGACUAUACGCUCCUGCCGCUGUUGUUGGUGUUUCUGGAAAAGGCGGAACAAAAGGUAGGAAGGCCGCGGUAUGGGGGCGCGCUACAGAUGUUAUGCACUGACUUGUUUCGAUGACUGAGGGGCGACGGACCGAAUCCGUGUCGCAGCGACUGACACUAAAGUUGGAUGGGAGAACCCGCUCCUUCCUGCCUUCCGUCGUGUAGCUGUUUACCACAGUCAGAACAUUGAUGCGCAAGGUGUGCACCUCACCGGGACCGCGGCCCGUUGCUAGUGACCGUGAACGGUCAGGGCCAUUAUUGUCGGCGGCGUGCCCCUUCUGUAGCUUGACAAAAUACGCAACCCAAGGUGCUGGCGCGUCCCGGAAGUCAACAACAGGAGUAGAAUUUUGCGCGCUAAUGAGUGGAUGUCGCAGGGCUGAUGCGGCCUAUAGCCCUGCACAACGAGACGUGUCUUUCUCAGUCGUCCGCGGUGCAGUGGCCUUGGCAUCAUCAGCCAGUGUUUGAUGUUUUGCAUUAGCAUGACAGUCAUUGUCGAGAUAUGCUCUGAGUUGCUGAUGUAUCACCUUACGGCCGGUGUUCGUAUGGUGCCGGAUGAUAUAAACCAGCUGGGAAGGAAAACUGAUAACGCGUCGUAGUAUUCCUUCACGUGGAUGCGCCUACUGAUAGGCUACGAUAUCCUAUGGAAUGCGUCACUAGGGAGGCUGCGUGUCUCUGUCUUGGGUCCCUGGGUGCUGUGUCGAUGCUUUCGAUAGGCCUCGUGUCGACGCUGGCGCGGUGUUGCCUUCUGCAGCGUCCAGGGUGGCACCGUUGUCAUUGUGUUACAGGUCUACGGAACUGGCGGCCUCCUCGCAGUCCGCUUCACCAGCACACGUUCUGUAUGUGUCGGCGGGACGGUCGCGCGCGUUCAAUUUGACUUGACGGAGAUGCAUCCACCGUUGCUAGUGGAGGCAGAAGAUGAGAACGUGUCCCCUUAAGACUGAGCUAUAGCGGGAUCCUGUGAGGCAGGUUCCCUAUGGUUGGUCGUCGUGGGCGCCUGACUCUAAAUGGAGGCACACGGCAACGGAAGCGGCAACGUCCAUCCCCAACGAGCGAGUCACCACGCGAGCCAUUGGCGUCUGGUCGCAUGACUAUACGAUCGUGCCGCUGUUCUUGGCGUUCGUGGAAAAGGCGGUAGGAACCGCGUGGACGACCGAUCCCGGUGGAACUCCGAGUAGUGAAUGGUGCAUGUGGGAUCGAGUGAAUGGGGAAUCGAGUGAAUUGAGGCGUCGCGCACUCACUCUCCAAGGACGAGUGAUAACGACGUUGUGAUUAACUAUUUGUGAUUAUGUUGUUGGAGUUCGUUUUGCACCGAUGAGGGCUUUGAGUGUUUGUGUUUGUCGAACUUGUGUUGGACCACAGAAUUGAUGGUCACAGGAAGGCAAGCAGCAUUGUGGCUGAUGCGAAGGGUUAACGUGGAUUUCCUCUCGCAGCCGACUGGCGUCCGCCCCAUUUCGCUUACCGUGUCGUCAACCGGGGGUAACCGAGAGUACUGGGGGAAGCAGGUGAGGGUCUUCGUUUCGGCUGCUUCCAUAUUGAAUGCGUUGCAUUAUGACCUUGGCACAUUGGUUACGAGUGCUGCUGAAUUUCUCAGACACUCUCGACCGACGGCAACGGUCUCGGUUUGUGCGACGGCCUGGAUGAUCCGGGUGCUGGGUCGCAUGCCGUGACAUUGUCAGCUGAUGUUGCGAUCUGGUUUGCGCGGUGGAUUCUGCUCAGCAACAAAAAGUAUGGACCGCGCGCCUUGGCGGCGGGCACCAGCUGUGUGAUACCGAUGCGUUUCAACUAAAUGGGCGGUACCAAGGAAGAACCGUCACUAAACGUGUCACCAAAUGGGAUAAAAUAUGUCACUCUGGCCUGCCGGUCGCCGUGUCGGUGUCAAUCAAAGUCACGGCAUGGUUGAACGAGGUGUGCAGCUGAUCGAUGGGGAGGGCGCGUAGGCAGAGCACAACAACGUGCAGCCACACUGUUUUCGAUAUGACGGUGCGUCACGUCUGCAGUUUAAAAGAGUACGCAAUACGACCUCGCUGGCGCGCUCAAAAGACAUGCGCAGUACCGCAGUACUAGGAUGUGAUGCGCACCGUUUGGUCCGCGUGACGAGGGCGUGUGCCAAAGAGUCCAUCCAUAUGCAGGCAUAUGUACUUUUUGGGCGUCCAGUGUGCAAUGGCCGUGACAUCAUAAGCCAGCGUUUGGUUUUCCGCGUGAGAGUGACUUCUUUUCGG